rnacentral:rRNA from 1 species
AUACGUAGGGGGCGAGCGUUGUCCGGAAUGAUUGGGCGUAAAGGGCGCGUAGGCGGCCCGGUAAGUCUGGAGUGAAAGUCCUGUUUUUAAGAUGAGAAUUGCUUUGGAUACUGUCGGGCUUGAGUGCAGGAGAGGUAAGUGGAAUUCCCAGUGUAGCGGUGAAAUGCGUAGGGAUUGGGAGGAACACCAGUGGCGAAGGCGACUUACUGGACUGUAACUGACGCUGAGGCGCGAAAGUGUGGGGAGCAAACAGGAUUAGAUACCCUGGUAGUCCACACUGUAAACGAUGAAUGCUAGGUGUAGGGGGUAUCGACCCCUUCUGUGCCGCAGUCAUCACAAUAAGCAUUCCGCCUGGGGAGUACUGCCGCAAGGUUGAAACUCAAAUGAAUUGACGUGG